UACGUAGGGGGCAAGCGUUGUCCGGAAUCAUUGGGCGUAAAGCGCGCGUAGGCGGCCAGAUUAGUCCGGUGUGAAAGUCAGAGGCUCAACCUUUGAAUGCCGCUGGAAACUGUCUGGCUUGAGUCCGGAAGGGGCGAGUGGAAUUCCUGGUGUAGCGGUGAAAUGCGCAGAUAUCAGGAGGAACACCAAUGGCGAAGGCAGCUCGCUGGAACGGUACUGACGCUGAGGCGCGAAAGCGUGGGGAGCGAACCGG
rnacentral:rRNA from 1 species